ensembl:lncRNA
CUCAAGGUGGGACACUCCUGACAUGCAAACUGAUAUUUCAGAAUACCUUUUUAGGAUCGGUUUAGGGUUACGGAUGUUAGAGCUGUGAUGGUGGUGUGUCCCGUGCCUCCAUUGUGACUCUUGUCCGCCACCUCCGUCUCCCUGCCCAGUGUGUGUGUGCCACAUUUCACCAUGACCCUACACCCUCUCCUCGUCCUGUCCCACGCCCUGGGGCUCUUGGCGCUGUGUUGUCUGUCGUCCAGUGUGAACAGCAGCAGCUUCAGCACUGUUGCCCGCCGGAUAAUGACAAACCAGAUCCGAUGCUCUCAAGCAUGCUCAUCACAAAAUACCACAUGUGAUCAAGCUGUGUUCAUAAAAAAGAAAUCCACCUG